rnacentral:rRNA from 2 species
GGCCGGGAACUCAAAGGAGACUGCCAGUGAUAAACUGGAGGAAGGUGGGGAUGACGUCAAGUCAUCAUGGCCCUUACGACCAGGGCUACACACGUGCUACAAUGGCGCAUACAAAGAGAAGCGACCUCGCGAGAGCAAGCGGACCUCAUAAAGUGCGUCGUAGUCCGGAUUGGAGUCUGCAACUCGACUCCAUGAAGUCGGAAUCGCUAGUAAUCGUGGAUCAGAAUGCCACGGUGAAUACGUUCCCGGGCCUUGUACACACCGCCCGUCACACCAUGGGAGUGGGUUGCAAAAGAAGUAGGUAGCUUAACCUUCGGGAGGGCGCUUACCACUUUGUGAUUCAUGACUGGGGUGAAGUCGUAACAAGGUAACCGUAGGGGAACCUGCGGUUGGAUCACCUCCUUACCU